rnacentral:lncRNA from 1 species
CUCAGUCCGGACACAGCAUGGACAUGAGGGCCCCAGCUCAGCUCCUGGGACUCCUGCUGCUCUGGCUCCCAGAUACCAGAUGUGACAUCCAGAUGACCCAGUCUCCAUCCUCCCUGUCUGCAUCUGUAGGAGACAGAGUCACCAUCACUUGCUGGGCGAGUCAGGGCAUUAGCAAUUAUUUAGCCUGGUAUCAGCAGAAACCAGGGAAAGUUCCUAAGCUCCUGAUCUAUGCUGCAUCCACUUUGCAAUCAGGGGUCCCAUCUCGGUUCAGUGGCAGUGGAUCUGGGACAGAUUUCACUCUCACCAUCAGCAGCCUGCAGCCUGAAGAUGUUGCAACUUAUUACUGUCAAAAGUAUAACAGUGC